GCCUCCGAGUCUGAACAACACGCGCAUCCUGGCGUCUAAAACCGCGCGCGAAAAAUCUUCGACGAUGCUGCGCCCAAACCCGUGAAGAAGAGCAGCGGCGGUGAGGAGGAGGAGCCUCUGCUGAAGGACAACCCUCGUCGCUUCGUCAUCUUCCCAAUCCAGUACCACGACAUCUGGCAGAUGUACAAGAAGGCCGAGGCCUCGUUCUGGACCGCAGAGGAGGUGGACCUGUCGAAGGACCUGCAGCACUGGGAGUCUCUGAAGGACGAGGAGAGGUACUUCAUCUCUCACGUGUUGGCGUUCUUCGCCGCCAGCGACGGCAUCGUCAACGAGAACCUGGUGGAGCGCUUCACACAGGAAGUGCAGGUGACUGAGGCCAGGUGUUUCUACGGCUUCCAGAUCGCCAUGGAGAACAUCCACUCGGAGAUGUACAGCCUCCUCAUCGACACCUACAUCAAGGAGCCCAAAGAGAGAGAAUACCUGUUCAACGCCAUCGAGACUCUGCCGUGUGUGAAGAAGAAGGCCGACUGGGCGCUCAACUGGAUCGGCAACAAGAGCGCCACCUACGGAGAGCGUGUGGUGGCCUUUGCCGCUGUGGAGGGAAUCUUCUUCUCUGGUUCGUUCGCUGCGAUCUUCUGGCUGAAGAAGAGAGGCCUGAUGCCCGGCCUGACCUUCUCCAACGAGCUCAUCAGCAGAGACGAGGGUCUGCACUGUGACUUCGCCUGUCUGAUGUUUAAACAUCUGGUGAACAAGCCGUCGACAGAAACCGUCACCAAGAUCAUCAAGAACGCCGUCGCCAUCGAACAGGAGUUUCUGACGGAGGCUCUGCCCGUGAAGCUGAUCGGGAUGAACUGUGAGCUGAUGAAGCAGUACAUCGAGUUCGUGGCCGACAGACUGAUGCUGGAGCUCGGCUUCUCCAAGAUCUACCGGGUAGAGAACCCCUUCGACUUCAUGGAGAACAUCUCUCUGGAGGGAAAGACCAACUUCUUUGAGAAGCGGGUGGGCGAGUACCAGAGGAUGGGCGUCAUGUCCGGCCCCACGGACAACACCUUCAGACUGGAUGCCGACUUCUGAGGACAGAGGUGGACCUACACCCCCAACACUCAGUGACAUAUUUCAGCCAGAGAAACCAGUCGCUCCUCUGAUGGAGGAUGUUUCACAGUGUCACUACUUGGUCAAUAAUUGCAGAGAGUCCUCGUACAAUAAAGAUUUUACAGACAGAGGCCUCCAGGUGGAAAAGAGAAACAACUGGAUUCACAAAGUGAAGGUGUCACCACUUCGUCCACAACAUCGUCCACAAUCGCAGAGACAUGGUCCAUGGUCGGAGAGACAUUGUUGAGGAUGAGGGAGACAUCGUCCACGAUCAGAGACAUUGUCCACGAUCGCAGAGACCUUGUCAAAGACGAGAGAGACGUUGUCCAUGAUCAGAGACAUUGUCCCAUGCUUCGUAGAGCUCUGCGCAAGAAUCGGUAGUGACACUGUGGUUCCUCGAUUCGACGGCAUGACCACGAUCAGGAGACAUUGUUAAUGAUCAUAGAGACACCGUCUAUGAUCUCAGAGACAUCGUCCACAAUCACAAAGACAUCGUCAAUGAUCACACAGACUUUGUUCAUAAUCUCAGAGACAUUGUCCGCGAUCACAGAGACGUAGUCCGCGAUCACAGAGUCUUCAUACAAUGAGGAAGUUCUUUGAGACCAGGACAGAGGCCUCCAGGUGUCACCACUUCGUCCACGAUCACAGAGACAUGGUCCAUGAUCGGAGAGACAUUGUUGAGGAUGAGGGAGACAUCGUUCACGAUCAGAGACAUUGUCCACGAUUGCAGAGACCUUGUCAAAGACGAGAGAGACGUUGUCCAUGAUCAGAGACAUUGUCCCAUGCUUCGCAGAGCUCUGCGCAAGAAUCGGUAGAGACACUGUGGUUCCUCGAUUCGACGGCAUGACCGCGAUCAGGAGACAUUGUUAAUGAUCAUAGAGACACCGUCUAGGAUCUCAGAGACAUCGUCCACAAUCAUGAAGACAUCGUCAAUGAUCACAGAGACUUUGUUCAUAAUCUCAGAGACAUUGUCCGCGAUCACAGAGACGUAGUCCACGAUCACAGAGACGUAGUCCACGAUCACAGAGUGACAUCGUCCAAACCUUGGUGUCACCACUUCGUCCACAACAUCGUCCACAAUCGCAGAGACAUGGUCCACGGUCGGAGAGACAUUGUUGAGGAUGAGGGAGACAUCGUCCACGAUCAGAGACAUUGUCCACGAUUGCAGAGACCUUGUCAAAGACGAGAGAGGCGUUGUCCAUGAUCAGAGACAUUGUCCCAUGCUUCGCAGAGCUCUGCGCAAGAAUCGGUAGUGACACUGUGGUUCCUCGAUUCGACGGCAUGACCGCGAUCAGGAGACAUUGUUAAUGAUCAUAGAGACACCGUCUAUGAUCUCAGAGACAUCGUCCACAAUCACAAAGACAUCGUCAAUGAUCACAGAGACUUUGUUCAUAAUCUCAGAGACAUUGUCCGCGAUCACAGAGACGUAGUCCGCGAUCACAGAGUCUUCAUACAAUGAGGAAGUUCUUUGAGACCAGGACAGAGGCCUCCAGGUGUCACCACUUCGUCCACGAUCACAGAGACAUGGUCCAUGAUCGGAGAGACAUUGUUGAGGAUGAGGGAGACAUCGUUCACGAUCAGAGACAUUGUCCAUGACUCGUGGUGACUCGGUCCCCGAUUAGUCGGCACUGCCGGCGUUCAGAGACAUUGUCGAUGAUCGCAGAGACUUUGUCCAUAAUCUCAGAGACAUUGUCCACGAUCACAGAGACGUAGUCCAUGAUCGGAGAGAGUCUACGUGCAAUGAAGAAGUUCUUUGAGAACAGGACAGAGGCCUCAAGCUGUCAGCACUUCGUCCAUGACAUCGUCUCGAGACGUCGUCCUCGAUCGGAGAGACAUUGUUGAGGAUGAGGGAGACAUCGUCCGUGAUCUGAGACAUUGUCCAUGACUCGUGGUGACUUGGUCCCCGAUAAGUCGGCAUUGCCGGCGUUCAUGGAGACAUUGUCGAUGAUCGCAGAGACUUUGUCCAUAAUCUCAGAGACAUUGUCCGCGAUUGCAGAGACGUCGUUCACGAUCGCAGAGACAUGGUCCAUGAUCGGAGAGACAUUGUUGAGGAUGAGGGAGACAUCGUCCAUGAUCAGAGACAUUGUCCACGAUCGCAGAAACCUUGUUAAAGACGAGAGAGACAUUGUCCCAUGCUUCGCGGAGCUCUGCGCAAGAAUCGGUAGAGACACUGUGGUUCCUCGAUUCGACGGCAUGACCGCGUUCAUGGAGACAUUGUCGUUGAUCUCAGAGACAUUGUCUGCAAUCACAGAGACAUUGUUCAUGAUCACAGAGACUUUGUCCAUAAUCUCAGAGACAUUGUCCGCGAUCGCAGAGACGUAGUCCACGAUCACAGAGAGUCUUCGUACAAUGAAGAAGUUCUUUGAGACCAGGACAGAGGCCUCCAGGUGUAACCACUUCGUUGACGACAUCGUCCACGAUCACAGAGACAUGGUCCAUGAUCGGAGAGACAUUGUUGAGGAUGAGGGAGACAUCGUUCACGAUCAGAGACAUUGUCCAUGACUCGUGGUGACUCGGUCCCCGAUUAGUCGGCACUGCCGGCGUUCAGAGACAUUGUCGAUGAUCGCAGAGACUUUGUCCAUAAUCUCAGAGACAUUGUCCGCGAUCACAGAGACGUAGUCCGCGAUCACAGAGUCUUCAUACAAUGAGGAAGUUCUUUGAGACCAGGACAGAGGCCUCCAGGUGUCACCACUUCGUCCACGAUCACAGAGACAUGGUCCAUGAUCGGAGAGACAUUGUUGAGGAUGAGGGAGACAUCGUCCACGAUCAGAGACAUUGUCCACGAUUGCAGAGACCUUGUCAAAGACGAGAGAGACGUUGUCCAUGAUCAGAGACAUUGUCCCAUGCUUCGCAGAGCUCUGCGCAAGAAUCGGUAGAGACACUGUGGUUCCUCGAUUCGACGGCAUGACCGCGAUCAGGAGACAUUGUUAAUGAUCAUAGAGACACCGUCUAGGAUCUCAGAGACAUCGUCCACAAUCAUGAAGACAUCGUCAAUGAUCACAGAGACUUUGUUCAUAAUCUCAGAGACAUUGUCCGCGAUCACAGAGACGUAGUCCACGAUCACAGAGUCUUCAUACAAUGAAGAGGCCUCAAGGUGUCACCACUUCGUCCGCGAUCGCUGAGAUGUCAUCCUCGUUCGCUGAGACGUCAUCCUCGAUCGCUGAGACAUGGUCCAUGAUCGGAGAGACAUUGUUGAGGAUGAGGGAGACAUCGUCCACGAUCAGAGACAUUGUCCAUGAUCACAGAGACCUUGUCAAAGACGAGAGAGACGUUGUCCAUGAUCAGAGACAUUGUCCCAUGCUUCGUAGAGACCUUGCGAUAGAAUCGGCGGAGACGGGGGUCACCGAUUUGACGGCACUGCCCGCGAUCAUGGAGACAUUGUCGAUGAUCACAGAGACAGCGUCUAUGAUCUCAGAGACAUCGUCCACGAUCACAAAGACACUGUCCAUGAUCACAGAGACUUUGUCCAUAAUCUCAGAGACAUUGUCCGUGAUCACAGAGACGUAGUCCACGAUCAGAGUCUUCAUACAAUGAAGAAGUUCUUUGAGACCAGGACUGAGGCCUCCAGGUGUCACCACUUCGUCCGCGAUCGCUGAGAUGUCAUCCUCGUUCGCUGAGACGUCAUCCUCGAUCGCUGAGACAUGGUCCAUGAUCGGAGAGACAUUGUUGAGGAUGAGGGAGACAUCGUCCACGAUC